GAAAUUUGUCAUUUUCUCACUCUCUCUCUCUCUCUAGAACACAGAGUAUGUCCCCAGAGCAACUGCUGCUGUCGCUGCAACUUGCUCCUAAGCUCCUUCUUCUUCUUCUCAAACGCUGUCGUUUCUUUUUCUGCCUGCGAAUGUUGAAUUCGGCCUUACUCUUCAUCUCUCUUCCUAGCACAUUGUGAUCUGGCUCUUUGAUCCAUUCAUUCCGUAUAAUAUAAUAUAUGCACACACUAUAGACAUUCAGGUAUUUUAUUUUCCUUUCCUUUCAAAGUCUGUAGAUUUGAUUCGUUUUCCUUUGUUUUCGAAUUUCUUCGCAUUUUCUCAGCUGCAUUUUUGCAUUUUGAUUUCUUCUUCAAAGAUUCACUUUGCUUUGUUUCAUUUUUUUGUAUAAUUUUUUCAUCCACAUAAUUGAUUUUUAUAUAUAAAUACAGUAAUUGCUAUUUUUGGAAUUUUGAUUUGAAGUGUAAGGAGUUCAGCUGGCAUUACAUUUAGUUGUGGUCUUCGAGUGCUCCUUUAGGUAGAUAGUUUUUCUUGUCUCCUCUUUCUCUUUCUCUCUCUCUUUCCUCUGCUUUCCUUUUCCUCUUUUUCCGUUUGGAUAAUGACAGUGUUUGGUUGAUGGGAAAAUGUGAGGGAAGGAAGGAAGCUAUAAUUCUGAAUCUAGUAUUGUUCAUUUCUGUUGUUUGGUGAGAAUUUGAUUGUUUUAUUAAGUUCAGCUUUUCUAGUCUUCAAUGGUUUGGCUGAUGUGUUUAAUGGCAAAUUUUAGCUUUACAAAUAUUGAAAAUGUGAAAAAAUAUCAAUUUCUUGAUGAUUGACAAUUUGUUUCUUUUGUUGGGUUGGUAGGUUUUCAUUUUUAGUUGGAGGCUGCAUAUCUUCUCACAUUUUGCAGAUAAAAAAGGUUCCUUUCAGAACUCAUAAUGACAAAUUUCUUUUUUUGGCAUUGCAAAAUCUUGGAUUUUCUUUGUAUUUCUUGGCUUUCAGGGGUCUCUCUUUUUCAUUUGUACUUUUAUAAUUCUUCAAAUGACCUGACUUCAUUUUCGUGCUCUUCCUUUCUUCAUCACUAGCUUAUUGUACUUGCAUUUUCUUGAGUAGCUUCACCGAGAUAGCUACGUCCUAUUGUUGUUACCCUUGUAAGCACAUUGUUUUUAUUAGAUGGGUAUCUAUAAUAUGCAGAUUUUGUGAUUUCUUUUUAUGGAGUUAAUGAUUUUUUUCUGUCUUCGUGCAGAAAGGCAAAUCAUUUGAAUCUCUCACAUGGAGCAAUAUGAAAUACUCGAGCAGAUAGGCAAGGGGUCAUUUGGUUCAGCUCUUCUCGUGAGGCAUAAACAUGAAAAGAAGAAAUAUGUGCUAAAAAAGAUUCGCCUAGCCCGGCAGACUGACAGGUCACGGCGAUCUGCGCAUCAAGAGAAGGAGCUCAUUUCUAGAAUACGAAAUCCAUUUAUUGUAGAA
rnacentral:misc_RNA from 1 species